AAUAAUGUGCCUGAUUAAAGGAUUAUUUUGAUAGAAUAAAUAAUGUAAAAUAGAAUUACCUUUAUUA
rnacentral:tRNA from 1 species